GUUAUGUAGAGAAUCUGCAGUGUUAGUGUAUAAUAUGAAAGAUAUUUAUGUUUAUCGUCGUCAUUAACGUUUGUUAAAUAUCUUCUUUAACUUGAUUUUUCUGUAGUUAAGUUAGCUAUUUAUAAAAGUACGAUAGCGCUUUCUGCCAAAUUAAUAUUACAUAUUAUUUUUGUCUUGAUUUCCACAGUCACUUUUCUACAUAAAGGCAAAGAAUAUAAAACCAACUUUGAUUACAUUGAUUAAAUAUAAUAAUGAAUCCAAGUGCCCUUUUUGUAAACAGCAAAGAGACUACAGCAUCCUGCUGCCUGCCUUCAGAGUCAUGAGGGCCACAUUGUCAAGUAUGCAGGGUCUUCCAAGUCAGAUGAAUAACCAUGACUGUGGAAUUUUCAUGUUGAUGUUCUCUUUAGAAUGACAUGCUGGCUUUGAGGAAGUGCUCGUGUAGAAUGUUGCUUGAGAACUCCAGCCCCAAGGGCACUGCGCUCAUGCAGGUUUCAGAUCUUUUCUUUUAGAAGAAACAUCAGCCUCCCUUCUCCAACAUCCAGCACAGGGCACUGAUGAGCAGCAGCAUGGAAUCCUUCAGCAUCUUACUGAGGCAGAGAAGUGGUGUGCUGAGAACAUUUCUGUGUUCAGGGGGCACAUCUCACUCUCUUCAUUACUGUCAAUGGACAAAGACGACAUUGAGGAGGCCCUUCAGAAAUUUGAUUUGCUAUCUGAAUUUCCAGAACAAGAGGAGAGGGAAUAUGUCUUUAGACCCUUCAUCAUCCUUUUUUUCACAUAUGGAAGACAUGCAUCUGUUUUUAGAUAACGUGAGAGGAAA